rnacentral:rRNA from 1 species
CCUACGGUGGGCAGCAGUGAGGAAUAUUGGUCAAUGGGCGAAAGCCUGAUGGAGCAACGCCGCGUGGGUGAAGAAGGUCUUCGGAUCGUAAAACCCUGUUGUUAGAGAAGAAAGUGCGUGAGAGUAACUGUUUACGUUUCGACGGUAUCUAACCAGAAAGCCACGGCUAACUACGUGCCAGCAGCCGCGGUAAUACGUAGGUGGCAAGCGUUAUCCGGAUUUAUUGGGCGUAAAGGGAACGCAGGCGGUCUUUUAAGUCUGAUGUGAAAGCCUUCGGCUUAACCGGAGUAGUGCAUUGGAGACUGGUAGACUUGAGUGCAGAAGAGGAGAGUGGAACUCCAUGUGUAGCGGUGAAAUGCGUAGAUAUAUGGAAGAACACCGGUGGCGAAAGCAGCUCUCUGGUCUGUAACUGACGCCGAGGUUCGAAAGCGUGGGUAGCAAACAGGAUUAGAUACCCUUGUAGUC